rnacentral:rRNA from 1 species
UACGUAGGGUGCGAGCGUUAAUCGGAAUUACUGGGCGUAAAGCGUGCGCAGGCGGUUUUGUAAGCAAGAUGUGAAAUCCCCGGGCUUAACCUGGGAAUGGCAUUUGGGACUGCAAGGCUGGAGUGCGGCAGAGGAGACUGGAAUUCCCGGUGUAGCAGUGAAAUGCGUAGAUAUCUGGAGGAACACCGGUGGCGAAGGCGGCGUUCUGGACUGCAACUGACACUGAUGAACGAAAGCCAGGGGAGCAAACGGG